ensembl:ncRNA T23F2.11 ncRNA
CUCGUGUCUCUUUGCCGCAUUCGAUUAUUCUCAUCUUCCCGAAGGUUAGCUUCUUCCCGCCGGGGGGACAGAUCAACUCUCUAUUUCCAAUUCUCUGGUACACUCCGCGUUGCGUUGCUUC